ensembl:miRNA gmo-mir-210 gmo-mir-210
AGCCACUGACUAACGCACAUUGUGCCACUUGCCCAUUCCACUGUGCGUGUGACAGCGGCUAA